UACUUAGGGGCUUUUGGAUCAUUUCCUAAUUAUUCUAGCCUAAUACUGCGACUUUUUACCCUCCAUAUAAUUCCUUGUAUAAUUAUGUUUUACCCCCAAUUUCCCCAAUUGAAAUCAUUCCCUCAAAUUCCUAAAAGAAGAACAUGUCUUCCUCUCAAAAAUAUUUCUCUCUUUGAAAAGCUUGGAUAAGGAAUCAACCUAGGGUUUCGAUUCAUGCAUUUAUCCCUCCAUUGAAGGAAAUAUUUUUUCAGAUGAGAUUAUCACUUUUGUGGCUAGCAAUCAAGUAGUAAAAGCUUCAUGAUUGGUGAUUCCGCAUGUUCCGAGGACCAAGACUUUUCUUUAUUAUGUUUUUUCAUUUGAGUUUUGAACCCGACAUACGGGUUAUGUACCGAUUACUUGUCAUGUAAUAAAUGAGUUUGAGAUAUUAUAAAAUCCAUUUUUGAA